AUCAACAGUUGCUCUGAUUCCAACCGACAGGCAGCAGCAGCUCAACAUACUCGUAAUGUUUCUGGAAAAUAGUAUCCGCCAGCUAUAUCGAAGAUGAGGGAAAAAAGAGACCACAUGCAUCAUCUGUACACACCCAGCACCCAGGAAUGUCUGAUUUCUCUGUUCUGCAACCAGCCUUAUGCAUGCCCCUCUGAACUCAAGAAAAGAUCCUGGUUUCUGCAUCCAGCCCCAUUUGGUCCACAACUCUACCCCAGGCCCGCUCUCUCCCUCAGCCAAGUGGAGUCCCUACAAAACGUGGUGCACAACUGGAGACAGGACAAAGAUUUCACCUGAUACCACGUGACGACGAGCUCAAGCACACGCAUUUUAAAACAGAAGAAAGGAAAAAUGGACACCAAGCAGACGUGACCGCAGAUCAUCUUUACAGUUUACAAUAUGAAGAUUUACUAAGAUGAACACAAAACAUCCAGAACAGAAGGUGAACAAAUCAACUUUCCUGGACGAAUGGACAGUUACUUUUGGGCAAUGCUGGAAAAGUCCUGAAGGAAAAAACUUUGGAAGAGUGAGUACUUCUCUGCAAGGCUAACAUCACCUGUUAGACUGCUACCCUGCCUGUGGGUAGGAUCGACAGCAGGGGUCUCAACCUGAAUUCCUUGGUGAGCUACUUUUAUUUAACAAAAAUGAUAGAGCUAAUCUACAUAUCGAUGCCAUAUGUGACUUUGGUGGGGUAUUGAGGAUAUUUAAAAAACAAUUAAAGAAAAUAACUUGAGUUUACUCAAUGCUUAUGCUUUACUGUAUUUAGUUAAUUGUUAGCAGAAAGUGUCUACACGCACACACACAUUGUCAGAGAUGGUACUUUUUAUUUCAAGUCUAAUUAUUCUACUCUGUUGUAACCUCAUUAACUUGACACUUAAGUGUCAGACAGAGCUGAUGUGAAAGUUCAACCCCAAAUUAAGGUCUUGUUGCACAGUUCAAUACGAAAUGCACCAUUUGAAUGUUUUACUGCAUUGACGACUGUAUGUAACCCUCUUGUUCACACUUCAAUGUGGCUUCAGUGAAAAAGUUGUAUUUAUUUCUGCAAUAUUUGUUGUCUUGUAUUAAAUAAAUGCAUCAUUUGCAAAUAAAGUAAGAUUUAAUAUUUUUUUCUCUCAUAGCCUGUGUAGACCUAGUUCUG
rnacentral:lncRNA from 1 species